rnacentral:rRNA from 1 species
UGGGGAAUUUUGGACAAUGGGCGAAAGCCUGAUCCAGCAAUGCCGCGUGAGUGAAGAAGGCCUUCGGGUUGUAAAGCUCUUUUGUCAGGGAAGAAACGGUGAGAGCUAAUAUCUUUUGCUAAUGACGGUACCUGAAGAAUAAGCACCGGCUAACUACGUGCCAGCAGCCGCGGUAAUACGUAGGGUGCAAGCGUUAAUCGGAAUUACUGGGCGUAAAGCGUGCGCAGGCGGUUUUGUAAGUCUGAUGUGAAAUCCCCGGGCUCAACCUGGGAAUUGCAUUGGAGACUGCAAGGCUAGAAUCUGGCAGAGGGGGGUAGAAUUCCACGUGUAGCAGUGAAAUGCGUAGAUAUGUGGAGGAACACCGAUGGCGAAGGCAGCCCCCCUGGGUCAAGAUUGACGCUCAUGCACGAAAGCGUGGGGAGCAAAACAGGAUUAGAUAUCCUGGUAGUCCACGCCCUAAAACGAUGUCUACUAGUUGUCGGGUCUUAUUUGACUUGGUAACGCAGCUAACGCGUGAAGUAGACCGCCUGGGGAGUACGGUCGCAAGAUU